CCCAGAGGCGAAAAAGUGUGUGCGUAACGGCGUAGGGGAAGGCAAGAGGAACAUCUCGCUUCGUCUCAUUAACACCAGCGGGGCUUUUUCUACCGAGCGCUCGUAAAUGCCACUUACUCCGCUCGCUGCCCUCACAUCGACUGACUACAGCUACAAGUCCGACAGCAAACAUCAAACAGAGCCGCGCAACCGUCAUCGCUAUUCUCCACACGUGAAAAAAGAGUGAAAUUCCCCCUUUGCCCCCUUCUCGCCAAGGGACCGUCCCCGCAGUGCACUCUGGGCCAACGAGUACAGUCACUCACUACAAGACGCUACUGGCGACAAGGAGGUGACACAGCGCACUGAGGUGAAUGCUAAAGAGAAGAUAUCAGAUGUAUGCAACAAGUCUUUCCAUUACAUCAACAUACAUGGCAUUCCGAAAUUAUACAAGACAAUUUGCCCGGCUGCCCAAAUACCAGUAUUGAACAGAACAAGGAGCGCACUGACCAGGGUGGAUGGCCGGCCACUCUGCGGUGCAGCCAGCGGUGCGUCUGUGUGGAGUUGGUGGGAGUGAGGAGGUGAAGGAGGAGCAGCGUGCGUGGGCCCAAAGCACAGCUCAGGCUCGCUCUGUGCUGCGUGCUAAUAGGGCUUUUUUCUGCCCCCAGCGGGACAUGGAGAGCUGUCAUUUACAUGGAGAUGCAGAGGAAGAGGAAAUGGCGUUGAUGGGGUGAAGGCUUGAGGUGUCUGGGGAGAGAACAGCCAGAAGGCCCUCUCAGAGCAUGGUACGCGCUCCAUCUGGACACCCGCUCACUGUGAAAACCAGUGUGAAACAUGGAGGGGAGGUGAGAUUAUCAACUCCAAUAUUUAAAAAAACAACCUGUAAUAUCUGAUCUUCAGGAGUUGUAUUAAAGUGGGUGUUUUUGAUUGAAAAUGACACAUUAGAGUCACAGUAAGUAGGCUGUAGGUCUGUGGCUGUCAGCAAAAAUGUAUUUUAUAUAUUUGAUUUUAACUGAAAAAAUUGUUGCUAUUAUAUGGUAUAGUUAUUUUGGAUUAGUUAUGAAAAGAAAUGUGAAGUUUGCAAUCCUGAACAGUAUUUCAUAAUUUUUCUCUUUUAUUUAAUUUUUUUUUAAAUUUAGAUUUAGAUUUUAUGCAUUAGAUAAUAAGUACUGAAACUUAAUUAUUGUUUUAUUACAUGAAAAUAAUUUAUUUUGAUGAUGGGAU